rnacentral:rRNA from 1 species
GAGUGGACUCCUACGGGAGGCAGCAGUGGGGAAUCUUCCGCAAUGGACGAAAGUCUGACGGAGCAACGCCGCGUGAGUGAUGACGGCCUUCGGGUUGUAAAGCUCUGUUAAUCGGGACGAAAGGCCUUCUUGCGAAUAGUUAGAAGGAUUGACGGUACCGGAAUAGAAAGCCACGGCUAACUACGUGCCAGCAGCCGCGGUAAUACGUAGGUGGCAAGCGUUGUCCGGAAUUAUUGGGCGUAAAGCGCGCGCAGGCGGAUUGGUCAGUCUGUCUUAAAAGUUCGGGGCUUAACCCCGUGAUGGGAUGGAAACUGCCAAUCUAGAGUAUCGGAGAGGAAAGUGGAAUUCCUAGUGUAGCGGUGAAAUGCGUAGAUAUUAGGAAGAACACCAGUGGCGAAGGCGACUUUCUGGACGAAAACUGACGCUGAGGCGCGAAAGCCAGGGGAGCGAACGGGAUUAGAUACCCUUGUAGUCCU